rnacentral:lncRNA from 1 species
CAAACUUGAUUAGAUUGAUUUUCAUAUUGAACCCAAUAUUUACGAGAGAAUGUUCAUCCAAGUUGAAGCAAUUCCAGAACUCAAUCCUUUUCUUGUUUUCCUUGAAUUGUUCAGAAAUUGUUGAAGGGAACAAUACAGUCUUCAGUGAUAUACAUUCAACAAGUAGAGUUUCAACUGAUAAAGGAAGCACAGGUAGAGCCAGAAGCUUUAAGCAAUAUCGUAUGUCUAAUUUUCUUAGUCUUGUAAGAUUCUGGAUGCUAGAAGGUAUGAUCUCAAUUUCACUCUUUCUUAAAACCAGGAUUUCAAGCUUGCUUUGACAUCUAAAUAAUGAUGGCAGUUCAUUGAUACCAAUAUCAGUUAGAUCUAGUUUUAUUAAAUUAUUUGUUGUUACCGAGAAUGUCCUUAGACUUAUGCAACUACCAAGGUUUAGAUAAAGGAGGGAGCUUAAAUGGGAAUUGCUAGUAAAUGUUGUAAGGGAAAAGCAAUGACUUAGGUCCAAUUGCACAAGCUUUUCUAGAGAGAAAAUAGAUGGGUGGACGCUUUCCAAUGAUAGGCAAUCUGUGAUAUUCAAUACCUUAAGAUUUGUAGCUUUUGAAAAGUCUGGUAAUUCUUUAAGGAACCUUGAACUGGUGAGUCUAACCUCUUUUAAAUUAACUAGAUCCUG